AUUGAACGCUGGCGGCAUGCCUUACACAUGCAAGUCGAACGGCAGCACGGGAGCAAUCCUGGUGGCGAGUGGCGAACGGGUGAGUAAAGUAUCGGAACGUGCCCAGUCGUGGGGGAUAACGUAGCGAAAGUUACGCUAAUACCGCAUACGAUCUAUGGAUGAAAGCGGGGGACCGCAAGACCUCGCGCGAUUGGAGCGGCCGAUAUCAGAUUAGGUAGUUGGUGGGGUAAAGGCUCACCAAGCCGACGAUCUGUAGCUGGUCUGAGAGGACGACCAGCCACACUGGGACUGAGACACGGCCCAGACUCCUACGGGAGGCAGCAGUGGGGAAUUCUGGACAAUGGGCGCAAGCCUGAUCCAGCCAUGCCGCGUGCAGGAUGAAGGCCUUCGGGUUGUAAACUGCUUUUGUACGGAACGAGAAGGUUUGGCUUAAUACGUUGAACUCAUGACGGUACCGUAAGAAUAAGCACCGGCUAACUACGUGCCAGCCGCCGCAGUAA
rnacentral:rRNA from 1 species